UACGGAGGGGGCAAGCGUUGUUCGGAAUCAUUGGGCGUAAAGGGCGCGUAGGUGGCCAAACAAGUCGGGUGUGAAAUCCCUCGGCUCAACCGAGGAACUGCAUUCGAUACUGUUCGGCUAGAGUCCGGGAGGGGAUGGUGGAAUUCCCAGUGUAGCGGUGAAAUGCGUAGAUAUUGGGAAGAACACCGGUGGCGAAGGCGGCCAUCUGGACCGGCACUGACACUGAGGCGCGAAAGCCAGGGGAGCGAAU
rnacentral:rRNA from 1 species